ensembl:lncRNA LY6S-AS1 LY6S antisense RNA 1
GUGGUAUCAAGAGGUGCAUUGAGGCGCUCCUGCAGCCUCCUCCCGGCACGGGACUCCUCACAACCCCCAGCCUCAGCUUCCCUGACAGGGCAGGGGCUCACUCUUCUCCACUCCGGGCCAGGAACGCAGCCUGCUUGCCUUUUGUCCAAUUGGGUGCUCUUUCUUUGCGACUGAUACAAAGUGGGAACAAACUCCGCUUCCGGUGAUGCCCGGGCCCCAGGAGGCUGGGGGAGAAGUGCACGCUGCCCAGCCUUCAACCUGAACUGCCCCCAGCACUUCCGAGCCCCGACCCCUGCAGCUGUGAGGGAAGCCCCGACCUCUGCCCUGGCCACAUCCUUCCCCUGAUCUCAUGGCUGAAAAGCCACACCAGAAUUCCUGCAAUUCAGUGAGGCAGCUCUUCAAAACCAAGCAGCUGGUGACGCACAGGGACAGAGGGUAGGCCUGCGGGGGAGAGGGCGGGAAAGGCCCUCACAGCAGGGCCCAGAGGAAGACUGACCCCAGGCUGAGCAGGAGCUGUACGCACAGGGCCCAGGGGCUGCUGGCUGCCAGGACCACCGCAUUGCAGAGGUCUCCCUUGCAGCAAGAGAUCUGGGAGUCCACAACGGCACUUAACCUGCCCUCUGCCCUGGCACCCCAGGGACUCACUGCCAAAGACGCUCACUUUCUGGGAGACACAGACCCCAUCCAGGAAGGGGCACGAGACCACGCUGCAGGAGGCCCCUUCCAAGACCGCCAAGCAUCUGUAGCAGCGCAGACCCUGAGCUGGGAGAGAGGGCAAGAAAACACACCCCUGGUGGAGAUUUAAGAUGCUAAUGACACAUGCGACGUAUGAGCAAGCAGGUGCAGCUACUGCACGUGUGCACCCAGAGGACCCCCCCAGAACAUGCUUCCUAGCAACACCUCUGCCCACCCGCUGUGAGUAAUCAUGGAAGACUCCCAUGGAGGAGCCUCCCUGGUGCCAGUCUCUGCUGUCUCGCCCUUACAAGCAGCCGGCCCUGAAUCCUCUCUCUCAGGGCGUCCUAUCUCUUCUGCAUCAAACUUUCAAAAUGUUCUUUCUCCUUUGCAAUACAUUGCUCUGUGCUGCA